rnacentral:lncRNA from 1 species
UGGUUUGACCUGACCCAAAUGCCCACCAAAUUAGGCUAGCAAAUGAGUAAGGCAUGAGAUCAAAUUGAUCUCUAAAAGAGCUAGAGAUUCCACACGUGCUAGCAUACUUACCAGAACCCCGAUUGAAUCCAAAAUUUCAAUCAACCUUUUUAAAAAGGGUCCUUGGCUAAUUUCUAUAUGUGUGUGACCCAUUGAGUUCCACAUCUAGCUAAUAGU